ACAGAUUCUGAUCCAGAAGAGUAAUUUUUCCUGUUGCUUCUUGAAGAAUGCAAUUAUCAUCAAGGCAAGUUAUGAACCUGGUGUAACUCAGACCAGUCUGCUAGUUUAGAUUCAGGACAAGAAUAAAAUGAUACACUUGUGAAACAUCUGACAAUUAAAAGAAGAUUUAUCUAGACAUAGUCUGGAUACUCAACAAGGAAAUAGCAAUGGAUCACAAUGAUGUGCCUGCCUCAUCUCCAUAUAGAAAUACAGCUGGUUCCAAGUGCCAUCAAUUGAGGAUGAGAAAUAGAAAGAAAAUACAUGGCAUAUAGUAUGUGACAUAAAUAGUUUACCUCAGAAUUAAAAGAAGGAAGAAGGAAAGAAGAAAGAAAACAAAGGGGAGAGAAAGGAAGACAUCUAUAUUUGAUUUAGAGCAUCAUUACCCUUCAUAAAGAAGCUGCAUAUGUACCAUUUCAUACAUAUAAUAGGAAUAAAGUAAGUAAAUGAAAUAAUGGCA
rnacentral:lncRNA from 1 species